AACGAACGCUGGCGGCAUGCCUAACACAUGCAAGUCGAACGAGAUCUUCGGAUCUAGUGGCGCACGGGUGCGUAACGCGUGGGAAUCUGCCCUUUGGUUCGGAAUAACGUCGGGAAACUGAAGCUAAUACCGGAUGAUGACUUCGGUCCAAAGAUUUAUCGCCAAAGGAUGAGCCCGCGUAAGAUUAGCUAGUUGGUGGGGUAAAGGCCUACCAAGGCGACGAUCGUUAGCUGGUCUGAGAGGAUGAUCAGCCACACUGGGGCUGAGACACGGCCCAGAAUCCUGCGGGAGGCAGCAUUGGGGAAUAUUGGACAAUGGGCGAAAGCAUGAUCCAGCAAUGCCGCGUAAGUAAUGAAGGCCUUAGGGUAGUAAAGAUCUUUUACACGGGAUGAUAAUGACAGUACCGGGAGAAGAAGCUCCGGCUAACUCCGUGCCAGCCGCCGCCGUAA
rnacentral:rRNA from 1 species